CCUACGGGGGGCAGCAGUGGGGAAUAUUGCACAAUGGGGGAAACCCUGAUGCAGCAACGCCGCGUGAGUGAAGAAGUAUUUCGGUAUGUAAAGCUCUAUCAGCAGGGAAGAAAAUGACAGUACCUGACUAAGAAGCCCCGGCUAACUACGUGCCAGCAGCCGCGGUAAUACGUAGGGGGCAAGCGUUAUCCGGAUUUACUGGGUGGAAAGGGAGCGUAGACGGCUGCGCAAGUCAGAAGUGAAAGCCCGGGGCUCAACCGCGGGACUGCUUUUGAAACUGUGUAGCUAGAGUGCAGGAGAGGUAAGUGGAAUGCCUAGUGUAGCGGUGAAAUGCGUAGAUAUUAGGAGGAACACCGGUGGCGAAGGCGGCUUACUGGACUGUAACUGACGUUGAGGCUCGAAAGCGUGGGGAGCAAACAGGAUUAGAUACCCCUGUAGUC
rnacentral:rRNA from 1 species